rnacentral:rRNA from 1 species
UACGUAGGGGGCUAGCGUUGUCCGGAAUCAUUGGGCGUAAAGCGCGUGUAGGCGGCCCGGUAAGUCCGCUGUGAAAGUCGGGGGCUCAACCCUCGGAUGCCGGUGGAUACUGUCGGGCUCGAGUCCGGAAGAGGCGAGUGGAAUUCCUGGUGUAGCGGUGAAAUGCGCAGAUAUCAGGAGGAACACCAAUGGCGAAGGCAGCUCGCUGGGACGUGACUGACGCUGAGACGCGAAAGCGUGGGGAGCAAACAGG